ACGUGACUUUUUCAUUUUGAUACGGACUUUGAAGCAACGUUUCGAAACACUGAGCUUCAAAUGAAUCGAUUCCGUUUCGAGUAUGCGUUUCGAGGUUGACAUCACUAUUGGAAACUUAAAUGUUUGACGCCUAGAUAAAAGGAGUUUAUUUUGGAAAUCCACUUCCCAUUAUUAACUGCUGGAUUUUGGAAAACUUCAAUAAGGACUAAAUAAAGGUUUGGACACGGACCGCAUCAUACUGCUAACUCAGGAUUACAUUGUUGUGGACUCCUGGUAAGGCUUAUAAGCUUUGAACUCUACCAAGCCUACUGUGGUCAACCUUCAGGACUUAUUUUGAAUCACAUUGGGAAGAGGACAUUUGUAAAUAUUGAGUUUAUUGUGUAUAUAUGACUUCAUCUUUUUGUUUUGUUUUCAAUACACUAAUACAGUUUUUUGUU